UAUAUUUUAGUAUAAGAUGUACGAAAGUUUUUGAAACUUUUAGAGAUAGUUUAAUUCUAUUAAAUAUAA
rnacentral:tRNA from 1 species